CAAGAAAAUGGUCCUGGGACCUGGGACAGAGACCAGAACUUGGGAAACGUUCAUAGAAGCCUCCAGUCUAUAAGAGAGAUGACAGGGCAGCUAUGGCCAGUUUGAGAAGGAAGAAAAACGGGGGAAGAAGCCCUCUCUCUCAUGCCUCUGUAAGAGAUCAGCUCACUCUGUGCUAAUUUGGCUACGUUCAUCUCGUCAUCUACUUCUCAUGACAAGUACUUCUGCUCCCUCACUUUACCAAGAGGAAACGGUGGAUCCAAGAGGUUGAUUUCCCAGAAUAGCCGACUAUUACCGAAAGGAGAAACUGAAGAGGGUGGAGACUCUCAUUCAAGGGAAUAGAGUUGAAGUUAUCAGAGGACAGAAGAGAUCAACCAGUGUCCAUCAGCAAGUGAGAACUGCUGGGUGAACUGCUCUAGCCACCAGAGAGACUGAUAAACACCCCAUAACCUGCUUUUCAAAAAGGGACCUGUUGACAAUUGAAUUUUGGGCCCCACAGGAGAACUCUGGCUCCCCUGAGGCAAGGCCUUUGGAU